UACGUAGGGUGCGAGCGUUGUCCGGAAUUACUGGGCGUAAAGAGCUCGUAGGUGGUUUGUCGCGUUGUUCGUGAAAACUCACAGCUUAACUGUGGGCGUGCGGUCGAUACGGGCAUCACUGGAGUUCGGCAGGGGAGACUGGAAUUCCUGGUGUAGCGGUGAAAUGCGCAGAUAUCAGGAGGAACACCGGUGGCGAAGGCGGGUCUCUGGGCCGAUACUGACGCUGAGGCACGAAGGCCAGGGGAGCAAACGGG
rnacentral:rRNA from 1 species